CGCAACCGCAACCCAGCAUCAUAAUGGACAUGCUAUGACUUCACAUGUGCAUUGGAAAACAAAAUGAUUCAUCUUGGUUGUUUCCUUAGGAUGGAUUCCUGGAAGUAGAAUCACUAGGCGCCCCGGAAUGAACAUUCUUAAAGGGUUGGUAUGUGUUUCCAAACUGCCGGCCGGGCAAGGUUUCAUAUUCAUUUACACUUCUUCUUUUUUUUUUUUUUUUUUAAUGUUUAUUUGUUUUUGAGAGAGAGAGAGAGCGCACGCGUGCAUGAGCAUGAGCAGGGGAGGGGCAGAGGGAGAGGGAGACACAGAAUCUGAAGCAGGCUCCAGGCUCCAAGCUGUCAGCACAGAGUCGGACCCAGGCUGGAACCCACACCAGCCCCCACGCAAGAGACCUGAGCCGAGAUCACUUAACCAACUGAGACUCGCAGGCCCCUCUUCAUUCAUACUUCUACCUGCAGUCAAGCAGGCUCACUGCACAUCACCUGUGUGACUUUGGAUGAGUUACUUGACCUCUGUGUCUUAGUUUCUGCACUGGCAAAAUGGGAAUAAUACUACCUUCCAAACAAGGAGGGAGGGAAUUGGAGCAGUGAGACUGGGCCAGCUAUCUAUGAAUUUGCUAUUAUUAAAAGCAAAUACUUGAACCAUCAUCACCAGCACUGAAUAGUAUGACUUUAAAUAAGCAUUUGUUAAUUUGGUA